UUGAAUUAUCUUACUUAUAUUUUUAAUAAGAUGAUUUUUAGUAUUGCUCAUCAACUCUUCCCCUUCCCCUCAAACAGGCUAAUCUGUGCCUUGAAAGAAAGAAGAUGUGAUAUCUGUUUUCUACUACACUGAUUUGAAUCUGUUUUCUCCAAACUGCGACCCAAUCUAGCAGAAUGUAAGGAGCCUAUAUUGGCAUACUAAGACCACUGCCCUCCCAUUUUUAUUGAAAAAGGCCAAGAAUGAAAAAGCAAGCUGUCUUAGUCUGAGAGACAGACAUCAGGGUGGGAUUAAAUGUGCAAGGAUUUUGUUAGGGGAAAUACCUGUCUGGGAGAAAAUGGGUAGGGAGCAGAAAGAGCUGUUAGACUAUGGAACAAGUCUAUCUCACAAAUGGAGAGAGGGAAGGAAGGUUAGGUGGAAGUGUCCUAGACCAUUGUGCAGCCUAAGGAAGCUUCAGCAAGGUUGUUAUGGAGUCUGUGAACCAAAGUUGGCUGUCAGAGGAGUCCCUUGUGUCCCAGGAACAGGCUUGCCCACCACAUCCAGUCAUUGGCUAGGAGCAGCCUGUGGCUGGGAGCAGCCAGUAUGGACGUGGUACAAAUGUGAUGGUGGAUCUCAGAGUGCAGCAGCUGAAGACCUUGGUCAAUUACCUUCCCUGUAGCUGGAUAUUUGCAAGGCACAUUCUAAUGGCAGCUUAGUUUGCUUUUGCUAGAAAUUAAAGAGGCCGGGCACGGUGCCUCACGCCUGUAAUCCCAGCACUUUGGGAGGCUGAGGUAGGCAGAUUACCUGAGGUCAGGAGUUUGAGACCAGCCUGGCCAACAUGGUGAAACCCCAUCUCUACUAAAAAUACAAAAAUUAGCCGGGCAUGGUGGCACACACCUGUAAUCCCAGCUACUCGGGAGGCUGAGGCAGGAAAAUCGUUUGAGCUUGGGAGACAGAGGUUGCAGUGAGCUGAGAUCAUGCCACUGUACCCCAGCCUGGCCGACAGGGCAAGACUCUGUCUCAAAAAAAAAGAAAAAAAAAAAGAAAUUAAAGAGAGCAUUGGGAUGCCUCUCACUUUUGUGAAAUGUAAGAAUCCCACUUGGUUGACACCAGUUGACAUGAAUGACUUUAGGAAGGGAGUGAAAUAUGGUGAGUCAGAAGAGAAGGGUUAAAGAAGGGAUAUUGGAUGAACCAGGAAUUAGCUUUGACAA
rnacentral:lncRNA from 10 species